AAUCAACGCUGGCGGCGUGCCUCAGACAUGCAAGUCGAACGAUUAAAGCUCUCUUCGGAGAGUGUAUAGAGUGGCGCACGGGUGAGUAACACGUAAGUAAUCUACCUUUGAGUGGGGAAUAACAGUACGGAAACGACUGCUAAUACCGCAUAAUGCAGCGGCACCGCGAGGUGACAGUUGUUAAAGGAGCAAUCCGACUUAAAGAGGAGCUUGCGGCAGAUUAGCUUGUUGGUAAGGUAACGGCUUACCAAGGCUACGAUCUGUAUCCGGUCUUAGAGGACGGUCGGACACACUGACACUGAAUAACGGGUCAGACUCCUACGGGAGGCAGCAGGUCGGGAAUUUUGGGCAAUGGGCGAAAGCCUGACCCAGCAACGCCGCGUGAAGGAUGAAGUA
rnacentral:rRNA from 1 species